UAAUACCGCAUAAUACCCACGGGUCAAAGGAGCAAUUCGCUUGAGGAGGAGGUCGCGGCCCGAUUAGUUAGUUGCGGGGUAAUGGCCCCACCAAGACGGUGAUCGGUAUCCGGCCUGAGAGGCGCACGGACACACUGGAACUGAAACACGGUCCAGACUCCUACGGGAGGCAGCAGUGGGGAAUUUUGCGCAAUGGGGGAAACCCUGACGCAGCAACGCCGCGUGGAGGAUGAAGUCUCUUGGGACGUAAACUCCUUUCGAUCGGGACGAUUAUGACGGUACCGGAAGAAGAAGCCCCGGCUAACUUCGUG
rnacentral:rRNA from 1 species